ACCUGAGGGACCUUCUUCCGGCUGCCACCUGCCGGGCCCCGGCCUUGGUGGGCUCCGCAGAGACUCCCCAUGGCAGCAGGACCAGGUCACUCAGGUAUCUCAGAUCACUCCUGGCUGGCCCCAGCUCUCCCUGCCUCCAGAUUCAACAUGACGGGUACAUGGGACGGACUGCCAGCCCUGGACCGUUCUUUGCUAAGGAUCCCCUUAUCAGAGACUGGCAAAGAGAACUGCAGAGGGGAAAGAAAAAAAAAAAGAAAGAAAGAAAUCCAGGGGAAGUGAGAAGAAACAUGUGUGAAACCUAGGCUCUCGCCCUGGACCAGCAUUAAAUAAACCAGGGCCUGGUUGAAAAGGAGGACAGA